rnacentral:rRNA from 1 species
UGGGGAAUUUUGGACAAUGGGCGAAAGCCUGAUCCAGCAAUGCCGCGUGUGUGAAGAAGGCCUUCGGGUUGUAAAGCACUUUUGUCCGGAAAGAAAUCCUUGGCUCUAAUACAGUCGGGGGAUGACGGUACCGGAAGAAUAAGCACCGGCUAACUACGUGCCAGCAGCCGCGGUAAUACGUAGGGUGCAAGCGUUAAUCGGAAUUACUGGGCGUAAAGCGUGCGCAGGCGGUUUGCUAAGACCGAUGUGAAAUCCCCGGGCUCAACCUGGGAACUGCAUUGGUGACUGGCAGGCUAGAGUAUGGCAGAGGGGGGUAGAAUUCCACGUGUAGCAGUGAAAUGCGUAGAGAUGUGGAGGAAUACCGAUGGCGAAGGCAGCCCCCUGGGCCAAUACUGACGCUCAUGCACGAAAGCGUGGGGAGCAAACAGGAUUNGAUACCCUGGUAGUCCACGCCCUAAAACGAUGUCAACUAGUUGUUGGGGAUUCAUUUCCUAGUAACGUAGCUAACGCGUGAAGUUGACCGCCUGGGGAGUACGGUCGCAAGAUUAAAACUUAAAGGAAUUGACGGGGUCAUAGCUGUUUCCU